AUAUCUCUCCGUACGGGAAGGAUGAGAAGCUUCGACUAAGGUUCGAUUCGAGCGCAGCGAGAACGCGUUGCCGCAGGCAACGACCC
rnacentral:sRNA from 5 species